CAAAUAUCCAAGAGGUUUCUUUCACUAAAGCUCACAGGAAUAUGCUGGUGACAAGGGCCUGCUUCACUAAAAAAGUACAGCCAGGCGGAAAAUGCAGAAGGGAAUCAUAGUUUAAUAGAAUGAGUAUUUCUCUGCUGCUCUGAAAAUGUGCCCCAGACCCAUUUCUCACUUCUUGGAACAAACAUUGGGAUUCAAAUUUUUAUGACUUACACGAACACUGAAUUGUCACAUCUCCAAUUAAAUGAGGGACACUGUCACAAUGAUUUAAAAAAUAAAAAUCAAGACUCCAUUGUA